rnacentral:rRNA from 1 species
AUGAUGCGGGAGCUAGGCCUCCGGGAGGAGGAUCUGGACGACGUCGUCUUCGACAAGAAGGAUGUUCCGCCGGAAUCGCCAAGGUGGGUAGCAUUGAUAAAGGUCAAUACAAGCAAAACCUACAGCCAGACCUGGUUCUAUAGGAAUAUGCGGGCAGCUUGGGACGUUUCCCAAGAAGUGAAGUUCAAACCAUUGGAGGACAAUCUUUACACUGUCCAGUUCACAUGUUUGGGGGAUUGGGAACGCGUUAUGCAUGAAGGCCCGUGGAAUUUCAGGGGAGAUGCGGUGCUGCUAGCUCCCUAUGAUGGUAUUACAAAACCCUCGACGAUCAAACUGGAGAGUAUUGAUAUUUGGAUC